UUGAACCCAAUUUCCCCAAAAACCCCGCUCUCAUAGGUAGUCGGCUGGUAAUGACGGAGUAAAUCAACAUCCUCUCUGAACAGAGUCUAGGCUGCGAUAACAGCUACGGACAAGAUUGAAAAGAUGUCUUCAAUGUCUUCAGAACAGAUUCCAUUGCAGUCCUCAUUCGGGGUAAGCUAUCCCAGGAUCUCCAGACAACCCAGACAGAGAACAGCCCCGGAGAUUUUUUUUUUUACCUUGAGAGGAAGUGAUGCGGUCAGGGCCUGGACAUAUGUGUGAGCAAGAUGGAACACAUGGACGUUUUUUUGCCUGGAGGAGGGAAUUAGCGACUGGUCCGAUCUACCAGAAAUGACAUUUUGACGUUGGCCUACAGGAUCUAGACACCGAUCACAAGCAGUACAGACAUGCAGCAUAAAGACUAUGUUGUUUGGCAGUAUGGAGCCAUGGGACAAGAACCGAGUGGUGAUCCCUAGACGGCACAGUAAAUCAACUUUCCGGCGCCGUCACAAAAAAAGCCUAUAAAUACAUGGACAACUCUUCUACCAUUUACGGUCCAGCAGUAGAACCAGAGACGGUUCCAAGUUCACAGACUGCUAAAUACUUCAAUCCAACGACUCAUGCACUUUAAAUCACACAACUGCUGGCAUUUCACCACAGCACUAUUCUAUUUAUUUAUUACCAAAUGUGUUUACAUAACAGUUAAACACUUUCCACGACUACACUGUACUUUAUUCUUCAUUUGGAUACCAAUUAGGAAAAAGAUUCAAUUUGGUGAUAUCUUUGUACGUCGUUUUUCGGUGAAUUUUUUCCAUGGUCUGGGUGAUAUCAGUUCACUACUUUGCCAGUUCAGUACUUUAUCAGAAUUAUUUCAAAACACUGUGCUUUUGUUAUUUUGAGAAAGUUACAGAGAUUACCUUGUAUUCUUGUUUAUCUCCCUAAUAAAUCUUUAUUUGACCUGA